CCUACGGGUGGCUGCAGUAGGGAAUAUUGGACAAUGGGUGCAAGCCUGAUCCAGCCAUGCCGCGUGCAGGAAGACGGCCUUCUGGGUUGUAAACUGCUUUUUUCAGGGGAUAAAAGGCCCGUGCGCGGGACAUUGAAAGUACCUGGAGAAUAAGCCACGGCUAACUACGUGCCAGCAGCCGCGGUAAUACGUAGGUGGCAAGCGUUGUCCGGAUUUAUUGGGUGUGAAGGGUGCGUAGGAGGUCAGUUGUGAAAUACGGCAGCUUAACUGUCGAGGUGCCAUUGAUACUGGGUAGCUUGAGUACUGAUGAGGUAGGCGGAAUGGACGGUGUAGCGGUGAAAUGCUUAGAGAUCGUCCAGAACACCGAUAGCGAAGGCAGCUUACUAAGGAGUAACUGACGCUGAGGCACGAAAGUGUGGGGAUCAAACAGGAUUAGAUACCCGUGUAGUC
rnacentral:rRNA from 1 species